rnacentral:rRNA from 1 species
GACAGAGGAUGCAAGCGUUAUCCGGAAUGAUUGGGCGUAAAGCGUCUGUAGGUGGCUUUUUAAGUCCGCCGUCAAAUCCCAGGGCUCAACCCUGGACAGGCGGUGGAAACUACCAAGCUGGAGUACGGUAGGGGUAGAGGGAACUCCGCGUGGAGCGGUGAAAUGUGUAGAGAUGCGGAGGAACACCAGUGGCGAAGGCGCUCUACUGGGCCGAGACUGACACUGAGAGACGAAAGCUAAGGGAGCGAAAAGG